CUCGUAGGCGGUUCGUCGCGUCCGGUGUGAAAGUCCAUCGCUUAACGGUGGAUCUGCGCCGGGUACGGGCGGGCUGGAGUGCGGUAGGGGAGACUGGAAUUCCCUGUGUAACGGUGGAAUGUGUAGAUAUCGGGAAGAACACCAAUGGCGAAGGCAGGUCUCUGGGCCGUUACUGACGCUGAGGAGCGAAAGCGUGGGGAGCGAACA
rnacentral:rRNA from 1 species